rnacentral:piRNA from 1 species
UAGCAUCAAAACAAUUAACUAUCUA